GUCUCCAUAGUCUAGUGGUUAGGACGGCGGUCUCAUAGGACUCUAUGACAAUUUCCAUCCAAAGAAAUUGAAAUCCGCAAGCACGAGUUCGAUUCUCGUUGGAGGCA
rnacentral:tRNA from 1 species